GCCGGGAUGGCCGAGUGGAAAGGCGCAUGCCUGGAACGGUACAACCCAAGAAAGCAUGUGAGGCUUCCGCCUCUCGAGGGUUCAAAUCCCUCUCCCGGCG
rnacentral:tRNA from 1 species